rnacentral:rRNA from 1 species
GUGGGGAAUUUUGGACAAUGGGCGCAAGCCUGAUCCAGCAAUGCCGCGUGCAGGAUGAAGGCCUUCGGGUUGUAAACUGCUUUUGUACGGAACGAAAAGCCCUGGGUUAAUACCCUGGGGUCAUGACGGUACCGUAAGAAUAAGCACCGGCUAACUACGUGCCAGCAGCCGCGGUAAUACGUAGGGUGCGAGCGUUAAUCGGAAUUACUGGGCGUAAAGCGUGCGCAGGCGGUUUUGUAAGACAGAGGUGAAAUCCCCGGGCUCAACCUGGGAACUGCCUUUGUGACUGGAAGGCUAGAGUACGGCAGAGGGGGAUGGAAUUCCGCGUGUAGCAGUGAAAUGCGUAGAUAUGCGGAGGAACACCGAUGGCGAAGGCAAUCCCCUGGGCCUGUACUGACGCUCAUGCACGAAAGCGUGGGGAGCAAACAGGAUUAGAAACCCCAGUAGUCC